UUAAGCGACUAAGCGUACACGGUGGAUGCCCUGGCAGUCAGAGGCGAUGAAGGACGUGCUAAUCUGCGAAAAGCGCCGGCGAGGUGAUAUGAACCCUUGACCCGGCGAUGUCCGAAUGGGGAAACCCAGUGUGAUUCGUCACACUAUCGUUAACUGAAUACAUAGGUUAACGAGGCGAACCGGGGGAACUGAAACAUCUAAGUACCCCGAGGAAAAGAAAUCAACCGAGAUUCCCCCAGUAGCGGCGAGCGAACGGGGAGCAGCCCGGAGUCUGAAUCAGCUUGUGUGUUAGUGGAACGGUCUGGAAAGUCCGACGGUACAGGGUGAUAGUCCCGUACACGAAAGCACACUUGCUGUGAACUCGAAGAGUAGGGCGGGACACGUGGUAUCCUGUCUGAAUAUGGGGGGACCAUCCUCCAAGGCUAAAUACUCCUGACUGACCGAUAGUGAACCAGUACCGUGAGGGAAAGGCGAAAAGAACCCCGGCGAGGGGAGUGAAAAAGAACCUGAAACCGUGUACGUACAAGCAGUGGGAGCACCUUCGUGGUGUGACUGCGUACCUUUUGUAUAAUGGGUCAGCGACUUAUAUUCUGUAGCAAGGUUAACCGUAUAGGGGAGCCGAAGGGAAACCGAGUCUUAACUGGGCGUUAAGUUGCAGGGUAUAGACCCGAAACCCGGUGAUCUAGCCAUGGGCAGGUUGAAGGUUGGGUAACACUAACUGGAGGACCGAACCGACUAAUGUUGAAAAAUUAGCGGAUGACCUGUGGCUGGGGGUGAAAGGCCAAUCAAACCGGGAGAUAGCUGGUUCUCCCCGAAAGCUAUUUAGGUAGCGCCUCGUGAACUCAUCUUCGGGGGUAGAGCACUGUUUCGGCUAGGGGGCCAUCCCGGCUUACCAACCCGAUGCAAACUACGAAUACCGAAGAAUGUUAUCACGGGAGACACACGGCGGGUGCUAACGUCCGUCGUGAAGAGGGAAACAACCCAGACCGCCAGCUAAGGUCCCAAAGUCAUGGUUAAGUGGGAAACGAUGUGGGAAGGCACAGACAGCCAGGAUGUUGGCUUAGAAGCAGCCAUCAUUUAAAGAAAGCGUAAUAGCUCACUGGUCGAGUCGGCCUGCGCGGAAGAUGUAACGGGGCUAAACCAUGCACCGAAGCUGCGGCAGCGACACUAUGUGUUGUUGGGUAGGGGAGCGUUCUGUAAGCCGUUGAAGGUGUGCUGUGAGGCAUGCUGGAGGUAUCAGAAGUGCGAAUGCUGACAUAAGUAACGAUAAAGCGGGUGAAAAGCCCGCUCGCCGGAAGACCAAGGGUUCCUGUCCAACGUUAAUCGGGGCAGGGUGAGUCGACCCCUAAGGCGAGGCCGAAAGGCGUAGUCGAUGGGAAACAGGUUAAUAUUCCUGUACUUGGUGUUACUGCGAAGGGGGACGGAGAAGGCUAUGUCAGCCGGGCGACGGUUGUCCCGGUUUAAGCAUGUAGGCGGAGGUUCCAGGUAAAUCCGGUACCUUAUUAACGCUGAGGUGUGAUGACGAGGCACUACGGUGCUGAAGUGAUAAAUGCCCUGCUUCCAGGAAAAGCCUCUAAGCAUCAGGUAACACGAAAUCGUACCCCAAACCGACACAGGUGGUCAGGUAGAGAAUACCAAGGCGCUUGAGAGAACUCGGGUGAAGGAACUAGGCAAAAUGGUGCCGUAACUUCGGGAGAAGGCACGCUGAUGUGUAGGUGAAGUCCCUGCGGACGGAGCUGAAAUCAGUCGAAGAUACCAGCUGGCUGCAACUGUUUAUUAAAAACACAGCACUGUGCAAACACGAAAGUGGACGUAUACGGUGUGACGCCUGCCCGGUGCCGGAAGGUUAAUUGAUGGGGUUAGCUGUAAGGCGAAGCUCUUGAUCGAAGCCCCGGUAAACGGCGGCCGUAACUAUAACGGUCCUAAGGUAGCGAAAUUCCUUGUCGGGUAAGUUCCGACCUGCACGAAUGGCGUAAUGAUGGCCAGGCUGUCUCCACCCGAGACUCAGUGAAAUUGAACUCGCUGUGAAGAUGCAGUGUACCCGCGGCAAGACGGAAAGACCCCGUGAACCUUUACUAUAGCUUGACACUGAACACUGGUCCUUGAUGUGUAGGAUAGGUGGGAGGCUUUGAAGCGUGGACGCCAGUCUGCGUGGAGCCGCCCUUGAAAUACCACCCUUUAAUGGCUGGUGUUCUAACGUAGACCCGUAAUCCGGGUUGCGGACAGUGUCUGGUGGGUAGUUUGACUGGGGCGGUCUCCUCCCAAAGAGUAACGGAGGAGCACGAAGGUUGGCUAAUCCUGGUCGGACAUCAGGAGGUUAGUGCAAUGGCAUAAGCCAGCUUGACUGCGAGCGUGACGGCGCGAGCAGGUGCGAAAGCAGGUCAUAGUGAUCCGGUGGUUCUGAAUGGAAGGGCCAUCGCUCAACGGAUAAAAGGUACUCCGGGGAUAACAGGCUGAUACCGCCCAAGAGUUCAUAUCGACGGCGGUGUUUGGCACCUCGAUGUCGGCUCAUCACAUCCUGGGGCUGAAGUAGGUCCCAAGGGUAUGGCUGUUCGCCAUUUAAAGUGGUACGCGAGCUGGGUUUAGAACGUCGUGAGACAGUUCGGUCCCUAUCUGCCGUGGGCGCUGGAGAAUUGAGGGGGGCUGCUCCUAGUACGAGAGGACCGGAGUGGACGCAUCACUGGUGUUCGGGUUGUCAUGCCAAUGGCACUGCCCGGUAGCUAAAUGCGGAAGAGAUAAGUGCUGAAAGCAUCUAAGCACGAAACUUGCCCCGAGAUGAGUUCUCCCUGAGACUUUAAGUCUCCUGAAGGAACGUUGAAGACGACGACGUUGAUAGGUCGGGUGUGUAAGCGCAGCGAUGCGUUGAGCUAACCGAUACUAAUGAACCGUGAGGCUUAACCUU
rnacentral:rRNA from 2 species